rnacentral:lncRNA from 9 species
UGUAUGGGAAUUUUUAUUAAGAUAAUGACUGUGGGAGUUCCCCUCAUGGCUCAGUGGUUAACAACUCUGACUAGCAUCCAUGAGGAUGCAGGUUCCAUCCCUGGCCUUGCUCAGUGGGUUAAGAAUCCAGCAUUGCCAUGAGCUGUGGUGUAGGUCGAAGACAUGGCUCGGAUCCUGCGUUGCUGUGGCUGUGGUGUGGGCCAGCAGCUAUGUCUCCGAUUUGACCCCUUGCCUGGGAAUUUCCAUAUGGCGUGGGUACAGCCCUAAAAACAACAACAACAGCAACAACAAAAAGAUAAUUGUGACAGCAAAUAAAACUUUGUCCCCAAUUUUUAAGUAAUAAAAAAUAGGAACAUAAAAAUUCUGCAGUUGUUCAAUAUUCCAAUAAUUUAAGAUAGAACAGAACAAUGCAACCUAUUGACAUUUUGGAGGAAGUAGUCAAUAUGAUUGAAUGUUGAAAAGAUGUAUGUUCUAAAUUAAUAUUUGACAAGCAGAUAUACUUAUCACAUACUAUUAAGUGAAAACCUCUUUGAAGUUAAUACAUGGAGCAUGAAGAUAUCUUUUCAUAGACCAAAAAAUCUAAAAAAUCUGAAUGUGCCAAAAUGUGGGCAGGUCAUCUUUAUUCAUAUUUCUGUUAUCCAUAUUUUCUACUUUUAAAAUUUUAAUUAAAGUAUAGUUGAUUUACCAUGUUCCUUCAGUUUCUGCUGUAUAGCAAAGUGACCCAGCCACCCAUACAUACCCCUUUUUUUCAUUUUCCAUCAGGUUCUUACCCAAGAGACUGGUUACAGUUCCCUGUGCUGUGCAGCAGGACCCCAUCACCCUUCCAUUCUAAAUAUUAUCCAUAUUUUCUAAAUUCUCCAUAAUAAAUAUGUAUUUUUGAAAAAAAAUAAAUUUUUUAGCUUGGAAUAGUUUUUGAUUUACAGAAAAUUUGCGAAGGUAGUAGAGUUCCCAUGUAAACAUCACUCAUUUCUUUUACUAUUAAUACUAUAAAACUGAAGUACGUUGGUUAAGACCAAAAUGUUAGCAUUUGUACAUUACUAUUAACUCAACUUCAGAUUCUCUUUGGGUUUGACCAGUUAAUCAACUAGUGUUCUUAUUCUAUUCCAGGAUCUAAGCCAGGACACCACAUUGCAUUUAGUGUCUGAUACCUAAGGCAGGUGGUUGGGUUGGCUGAUAUCUUGUAUGAAUCCACUAUGUUGAUUUCCCUGGUACCCGUACAUCCUUUGCGAUCUAAGCUUUUUUGGACUUAGAGAGUAUGAUUCUGGAUAGACCACAGGUAGUGAACAAUAGACUCCCUAACCUAGGUAAGAACAUAAGCACUGCUGAGGCAAAGGCAUACUCGUAAACCCACCUUGCUUAGGAAGCCUUGCUGUGUAUAGGACCCAGUACAGACUUUGGAGUAAGGUGGAGCUGGGUGCAGUUCGGCUCUGUCACUUACAUGCUGUGGGAUUCCAGGUUCGUUCCUUAUCUUCACUGACCUUCCACUUCCUUAUUUAUGAAAUGGAGACCUUUAUAUUCUUUUUGCAGAGUUCUGAGGAUUAAACAAAAUAAUGUCUAUAAAAUAGUUACUAUGUCAUAGGCAUUCAAAAAAUGAAUGCUUUAAUUAUUCUCUUUUUAGUCCUGCUUCUUCCAUGAAAAACCAUGCCAUCUUGAUCUCAAAGAUAUCAUUCUUAUGUGAUUUUUUUUAUUUUGCUUUUUUUAGGGCCACACUUGUGGCAUAUGGAGGUUCCCAGGAUAGAGGUUGAAUUGGAACUGCAGCUGCCGGCCUACAUCACAGCCAUAGCAAUGCAAGAUCCAAGCCGUAUCUGCAAACUACACCACAGCUCAUGGCAACACUGGAUCCUUAACCCACUAAGCGAGGUCAGGGAUAGAACCCACGUCCUCAUGGAUACUACUUGGGUUUGUUACUGCUGAGCCACUUCAGCAACUCCAGUGAUCAUUUUGUUUUGAAGCAAAGAAAGUGUAAGACAAAACCAAACCCAAAAACAAUUCAGUAUUUCCAAAUAAAUCAAGUAAUCUGAGAGUUUGAAAUGUCAACAUAGAGACAUGCUCUUUGCAUUAUGGGAUCUCAGAAAAGUGGGGUGAAAUUAUACUGUGACUUCCAGCUCCCAUCAAUCUGGAUUUUUCAGAACUGUUAGGCUGUGAUGCUUCAUGCUGAUAACUCAGCUUCUAGAUUCAUCUGACCAGCUGUCCCACUAAGUCAGAACUAAAUGAAUCUCAAAUUAUUUACAGCUGUUCUAGGAUGAGUGUCAUUUUCCUCAAACCCAGUCAUUCCACCUCUACCCAUAAUGGGUAUCUCAUAUUUUUCCUGCCAAGCAAUUUCUAUAAUAAAGAUUACUCCCAAAUUUUAAAAAAAAUUGUUUUCAAAAUAUUUCAAGCUAUUUUAGUGGAAAGAAGAUAAAAUGUAAAAAUAUCAGAUCUAACAUGAAUUAUGAUGUAGUUAUAAAGUUCUAAAGGAAUAUAAGGAUGAAAAAAGAAUUUGUUUAAUUGUAUUUUAUUAGAAGAGAAUAAUCUGUGCUAUAAAAGCCAUUUUUAAAAAUUAAUGCACCACUUCUUAAUCCUUUGGGUGUGAAAAAUUAGAUGGAUGGUUUAAUUUCAAAUAUAAUUCUUAGGUUUCACUAACGAAGAUUCUGAAUCAUUGGACUGGGGUGGUGCCCUUGCAAUAUUCCUUUUUAGCAAAAGUGAGGUAAAUCUCAGGUAGAUUUUCUUUAUGCUAUAUUUGGUGAAACAAUUGGACAAUGGAAUUUUGGGGCUGUGGAAGUAGCGCUGAAUGUGAGAAAUUCAGCUCUACUUGUUUUUCACAAAAUAGCCUUAUUGGUCUACAGUUCUGAAUUGUUUUAGUCUUUGUUAUGUUAACCUUCUACAAUUCCACUAUUCCAAGGAGUUCAGGAUGCUCUGAGCUUAAGAAUGAAGCCAAGGUGGGGAGUUCCUGUCGUGGCUUAGUGGUUAACGAAUCCGACUAGGACCCAUGAGGUUGUGGGUUCGAUCCCUGGCCUUGCUCAGUCGGUUAAGGAUCCGGUGUUGUUGUGGUGUAGGUUGCAGACGCGGCUCGGAUCCUGCAUUGCUGUGGCUGUGGCGUAGGCCGGUGGCUACAGCUCCGAUUCGAUCCCUAGCCUGGGAACCUCCAUAUGCCAAGGGAGCGGCCCAAAGAAAUAGCAAAAAAAAAAAAAAAAAAAAAGAAUGAAAAUGAAGCCAAGAUAAUUUAAAAAUUGUAGAAAUAUGGCAGGGGGAGAUAUGGACAGGGUAAGGGGUAAUUGUAGAAACAGCAAAUAUCUUUAUUUAGGGGGUACAGAAAUAUCUCAAUUACUCAAAGAAGACCGUGGAGACUGUUCAGAGUUAGAAGAAUGUGUACAUAAGAGACAUACUUGACUAGUUACCUAGAAAUAGUACUGACAUUAGAGAAUUUCACCUUGCAUAUUGAGUCUAGCAGUAACUUACUUAAAUUUUCAACCUAGAGGCUCUUGAUACAGAUCAGAGCUUCUCAAAUUGUGUUCCAUGGACCGAUUCCAUCCUUGAGCUGUUGGUUACCAACUGGUGACAGGGUAAGUACAGAGAUUGCGUAACUCUUCAGAAACCAAUAGCUUUUUGAAAGAG